AUGAGGUGCCUUGCUCAGUUCCUUGGGAUGCUUGUGCUCUGGAUCCCUGGAGCCCUUGGGGAUAUUGUGAUGACCCAGGCUGCACACUCCAUACCUGUCACUCCUGGAGAGUCAGUUUCCCUCUCCUGCAAGUCUAGUAAGAGUCUCCUGUAUAGUGAUGGCAAGACAUAUUUGAAUUGGUACCUGCAGAGGCCAGGCCAGUCUCCUCAGCUUCUAAUCUAUCUCACAUCUACUCAUGCCUCUGGAGUCCCAGAUAGACUCAGUGGCAGUGGGUCAACAACAGACUUCACACUGAGUUUCAGUAGAGUGAAAGCUAAGGAUAUGGGUAUUUAUUUUUGUCAGCAAGGUCUAGAAUUUCCUCUCACGGUGAUACAUUCAUGA